rnacentral:rRNA from 1 species
UACGAAGGGGGCUAGCGUUGCUCGGAAUCACUGGGCGUAAAGGGCGCGUAGGCGGCGUUUUUAAGUCGGGGGUGAAAGCCUGUGGCUCAACCACAGAGUGGCCUCGAUACUGGGACGCUUGAGUAUGGUAGAGGUUGGUGGAACUGCGAGUGUAGAGGUGAAAUUCGUAGAUAUUCGCAAGAACACCGGUGGCGAAGGCGGCCAACUGGACCAUUACUGACGCUGAGGCGCGAAAGCGUGGGGAGCAAACAGG